rnacentral:rRNA from 1 species
UACGAAGGGGGCUAGCGUUGCUCGGAAUCACUGGGCGUAAAGGGUGCGUAGGCGGGUCUUUAAGUCAGGGGUGAAAUCCUGGAGCUCAACUCCAGAACUGCCUUUGAUACUGAAAAGCUUGAGUCCGGGAGAGGUGAGUGGAACUGCGAGUGUAGAGGUGAAAUUCGUAGAUAUUCGCAAGAACACCAGUGGCGAAGGCGGCUCACUGGCCCGGUACUGACGCUGAGGUGCGAAAGCGUGGGGAGCAAACAGG